GAAACACCCCUAUGGAGCAGACUUCCUUCAGUGGGGCUUUGGUGCUCACUGAGUCUGCCCCUUGAGUGUGUUGCU
rnacentral:pre_miRNA from 1 species